UGCCGGCCACACCGAAUGAAGAAUCAUUCUUCCGUUAGUUGAAAUGGCCGCGGUUUCUGGCCUUUAAGUGUUAGCUGAAAGUGCAGUCCAUAUUUACCUUUGUGGUUUCACCAGAGUGUUGAGAGGCAAAGCCACGCUCCUCAUGGAUACACAGCAACUCCAGAUCUGUCUCAGGGGCUCCACAGACAAAGUAUAAAGAAUGGUUGAGGUAACCAUCCAGAGGGAGACAUCCCAUGGAGUUUACAGUGAGUCGCCUUCAUUGGGCAAUUCAAGAAAACAAGUGCUAACUUCUAAAAGACUUGUUGAUUUGGAACGAUAAAGAAAUACAUAUCUUUGAGAAAAAUCCUAAACUCUCUUUUUGGAAGUCAAGCUUCCCUAGGUUUAAACUUAGUCUGCAUGUCCAUCUGGAUCUAAAGCACAGUGGAAAGGGAUAGGGCUCAAUUUCCUAGCCCCAUUAAUCUCAGCAGCAGGUAAUUAUUUUUACAUUUAAAUUUCCAUCCAUCAUACUGAUAGUGCCUCUAUCCAAUAUGUACCAAGCAGUAGCCAAAUGACACUUCUUCAUGUUGUAUAUACAGAAUUAUUGUCAUUAAAG